rnacentral:rRNA from 1 species
CCUACGGGAGGCAGCAGUGAGGAAUAUUGGUCAAUGGGCGCUAGCCUGAACCAGCCAAGUAGCGUGAAGGAUGAAUGCCCUAUGGGUUGUAAACUUCUUUUAUAUGGGAAUAAAGUGCAGUAUGUAUACUGCUUUGCAUGUACCUUAUGCAUAAGAAUCGGCUAACUCCGUGCCAGCAGCCGCGGUAAUACGGAGGAUCCGAGCGUUAUCCGGAUUUAUUGGGUUUAAAGGGAGCGUAGGCGGGUUGUUAAGUCGGUUGUGAAAUUUUGCGGCUCAACCGUAAAAUUGCAGUUGAUACUGGCAGGCUUGAGUACAGUAGAGGUAGGCGGAAUUCGUGGUGUAGCGGUGAAAUGCGUAGAGAUCACGAAGAACGCCGAUGGCGAAGGCGGCCUGCUGGACUGUAACUGACGCUGAGGCGCGAAAGUGUGGGUAGCAAACAGGAUUAGAUACCCGAGUAGUC